GGAAAUGGCUCCGAGAGGCUUUGACGCAUGUGUACCUUUUUAGUGGCGGUAUCUCGGCCGGGGAUUUUCGGGCUCCAGUGGAGGUGGCUAUGCUCACCCCAUCUCCCUUGAGAGGCACAGAAGGUUAGAGAUGUGUGCGAGGAACGGCCAGGUCCAGCGUCUCCUCGUUGCUGCCCCUUGAGCCCGGGACCGGCGCCAAUGCGCGCCCGGGUUCUUGGGUUCUUUCGUCCCGCAGACCUGCCUUGGUGUGGCGUCCCUGGGCCGUAGCUUCCGAAGGCUGCAGCCGACCUGGUCGGGGUCCUCUAGCCCGCCUUCCCCUUCCCCCAUUGACAGAUGGAGAAACUGAGGCCCAGGCCAAAAAAUAUCUCACUAGAGGGCUCACCGCCAUUUCCUGGAAAAAUUGGGGCUGGGACUCAACGGACGCUCGUCCAGCAGCAGCGCGGAGCUCCGAAGUAAAGGCGCCCGUGACCGAGUGCUUUGUCCUUACAAGCGUGGUGUUCUUGAAUGCUUCCAGGCGCCUUAUGAGGCCCCCGAUGUACAAUCUGUGCUUAACUAAACCCCACUGUCUUCCAGGGUCAGGUUGGCCAUCCGCAGGCGUAGUUGCUAGGAAGGUUUGACAGAUGUCCGCCUGUUGAUUCAGACGUUCCCAGGAUUUGGAGCAAGAAGAGCAAGGAAGGCCAGGCGCGGUGGCUCACGUUUGUAAUCCCAGCACUUUGGGAGGCCGAGGCGGGCGGAUCACGAGGUCAGGAGUUCGAGACCAGCCUGGCCAGCAUGGUGAAACCCCGUCUCUACUAAAAAUACAAAAGAAAAUUAGCCGGGUGUGGUGGCACAUGCCUGUAGUCCCACCUACUUGGGAGGCUGAGGCAGGAGAAUUGUUUGACCUGGCAGGCGGAGGUUGCAGUGAGCCGAGAUUGCGCCACUGCACUCCAGUCUGGGCGACAGAGCGAGACUCUGUCUCAGAAAAAAAAAAGAGCAAGGAGGUGUUGAAAAUGGGUUUCCUGGCUGGGCGUGGUGGCUCACGCUUGUAAUCCCAGCACUUUGGGAAGCUGAGGUGGGCGGAUCACUUGAGGUCAGGAGUUUGAGACCAGCCUGGCCAACAUGGUGAAACACCGUCUCCACUAAAAAUAGAAAAAUUAACUGGGUGUGGUGGAGGGCGCCUGUAAUCCCAGCUAAUCAGGAAGCUGAGACAGGAGGAUCGCUUGAACCCAGGAGGCGGAGGUUGCAGUGAGCCGAGAUUGCUCCAUUGCACUCCAGCCUGGGCGAUAGAGUGAGACUCAGCCUCAAAAAAAAAAAAAAAAAAAAAUUCGCCAGGUGUGGUGGUGUGCGCCUAUAAUCCCAGCUACUCAGGAGGCAGAGGCACAAGAAUGGCUUGAAUCACUUGAACCUGGGAGGCAGAGGUUACAAUGAGCCGAGAUGGCACCACUGCACUCCAGCCUGGGCGACAGAGCGAGACUCCGACUUCCCAUCUUAAAAAAAAAAAAAAAAAAAAAAAAGAAGUGUAAAGAUGUGAUUAUGUGGCAGGGGGUAAGGGUUAAAAAGAAAACAAGAACAAGUUUUCCUCUGCUUAGCCAGCUUACUUCAAGGACAGUUAUAACACUGAAAAGUCGAGGCCAAAGGAAUGGGCUCCAGACAGCCUCCUCCGGAGCAAAGUUGAAAAGAAAAAUUCCUUUACUGUCUCUCCUUUUCUGAACCAUUAAAUAUGACUGUUUGCCAAUGGUUGUAUUUAGUAAGAUUUGUAGACUCUGUUUUUCUUUUGACACAGCUGCAAGGCCAACAGCUGUGCAAAGCCACAAGUUAUGCUAAGUCAGCAGUUAUGCUAUAGAUUACAUGACCUGUGACUGUAUCAUUAACUGCUUUUGUUUUGCUUCUGUAAGUUUGCCUAUAAAAACCACACUCAGUCUUUGUUCAAUGGUCAGCUUUUCAGAUACAAAUCCACUGAGCCGGUGUACAUCUAAAUAAAUCCUCCUGUUUCCCGUGUCA
rnacentral:lncRNA from 1 species